rnacentral:rRNA from 1 species
GAACUGAAACAUCUAAGUACCCCGAGGAAAAGAAAUCAACCGAGAUUCCCCCAGUAGCGGCGAGCGAACGGGGAGCAGCCCAGAGCCUGAAUCAGUGUGUGUGUUAGUGGAAGCGUCUGGAAAGGCGUGCGAUACAGGGUGACAGCCCCGUACACAAAAAUGCACAUAUUGUGAGCUCGAUGAGUAGGGCGGGACACGUGGUA